rnacentral:rRNA from 1 species
GAUGAACGCUGGCGGCGUGCCUAAUACAUGCAAGUCGAGCGAACGGACGAGAAGCUUGCUUCUCUGAUGUUAGCGGCGGACGGGUGAGUAACACGUGGAUAACCUACCUAUAAGACUGGGAUAACUUCGGGAAACCGGAGCUAAUACCGGAUAAUAUUUUGAACCGCAUGGUUCAAAAGUAAAAGACGGUCUUGCUGUCACUUAUAGAUGGAUCCGCGCUGCAUUAGCUAGUUGGUAAGGUAACGGCUUACCAAGGCAACGAUGCAUAGCCGACCUGAGAGGGUGAUCGACCACACUAGAACUGAGACACGGUCCAGACUCCUACGGGAGGCAGCAGUAUGGAAUCUUCCGCAAUGGGCGAAAGCCUGACGGAGCAACGCCGCGUGAGUGAUGAAGGUCUUCGGAUCGUAAAACUCUGUUAUUAGGGAAGAACAUAUGUGUAAGUAACUGUGCACAUCUUGACGGUACCUAAUCAGAAAGCCACGGCUAACUACGUG